ACGAUAUCGGGUCACAACACACGGACUAGAGGGAUUUUCCUGGCGGCAAUUGCACUUCCUAUCGGGAUUUUAAGUAGGCUCGGGCUGCCUGCGAUCGAGUACGGUUCUGUUGUGUGCCGUGAUGAUAUUGUGCACAUUGAGCAUGCAGCUGUAGCUUAGCUUAAGGUUGUUCCUAUUGAAUAGCUUAUGUAGAGGAUGGUUGGGUGGAAAGCAUUCAUCUAUAGCCUGCAGGAAUUUGUGACCAAUGUCGGUGCCAACAUUGGCGCUGUAGGGAG